CGCUUCCCUAAGCAAUGUACGUAACACCCUGCUUAGUUCUCAUUGUUACUUUGAAAAACGUCACGUUAAUUCCAUAUUGAAUUGGAUCGGGUUACGCCAACGGUCUUUGGCCUUAGCUCCUCCCUGCACAUGUCCAUUGGCGAGUUACGGGUGACGUACUUAGCAGCAGGGGCGUGUUAUAUCGCCUGCGUCGAAGCUUCUGGAGAAAGCAGAGCUCGUCAGUCGCCAUUUAAUCCUAGCUGCGGAGCGGGAUAUCUAGUCACAGCCAAGGCUUGCGCAAAUUUAUUUAUUCGCGUAUUUAUCUAGUUGCAGCCGUCAUGGAGAGAGAAAAGGAACAGUUCCGCAAGCUAUUUAUUGGCGGGCUCAGCUUUGAAACAACCGAGGACAGUCUGCGGAAUUACUAUGAACAAUGGGGGAAGCUUACAGACUGUGUGGUCAUGAGAGAUCCUGCAAGUAAAAGAUCCAGGGGGUUUGGAUUUGUAACAUUCUCUUCCAUGGAUGAAGUCGAUGCAUCUAUGGCAGCACGCCCACAUACUAUCGAUGGCAGAGUGGUCGAGCCUAAGCGAGCUGUUGCCAGAGAGGAAUCUGCCAAACCUGGUGCCCAUGUCACUGUUAAGAAAUUGUUUGUUGGUGGCAUUAAGGAAGACACAGAAGAGCAUCACCUUAGAGAGUACUUUGAAGAAUAUGGCAAAAUUGAGAGCAUUGAAAUCAUUACUGACAAACAGUCUGGAAAGAAGAGAGGCUUUGGAUUUGUGACAUUUGAUGAUCACGACCCAGUGGAUAAAAUAGUUUUGCAAAAGUAUCACACGAUAAAUGGGCAUAAUGCAGAAGUAAGAAAAGCCUUAUCCAAGCAAGAAAUGCAAGAUGUUCAGAACACCCGAAAUAGUAGAGGAGGUAACUUUGGAUUUGGAGAUUCACGAGGUGGUGGAAACUUUGGUUCCGGACCAGGGGGCAACUUCAGAGGAUCAUCUGAUGGUUAUGGAGGUGGACGUGGGUAUGGUGAUGGCUAUAAUGGAUAUGGUGGUGGUCAAAGCGGUGGCAGCUUUGGAGGUGGACCUGGAUAUGGAGGAGGGCGAGGAGGAUAUGGAGGUAGCCCUGGCUAUGGCAACCAAGGAGGAGGAGGAGGUGGCGGCUAUGGGGGAGGCUAUGACAACUAUGGUGGAGGAAACUACGGUGGUGGCGGAAGCUACAAUGACUUUGGGAACUAUAACCAACAGUCUUCCAGUUAUGGACCAAUGAAAAGUGGAGGAAACUUUGGUGGAAACAGGAGUAUGGGAGGACCAUAUGGAGGAGGGAACUAUGGUCCCGGUAGUGGUAGUGGUGGUGGAAGUGGCGGUGGCGGAUAUGGAGGAAGAAAUCGCUAUUAGAUAUUUAAUAAAAAAAAUUUUAAUCACUCCUCUGGGCUUUUGGGCUUGAACAUAAGACAAGCAGAAGCUUCAGUUCAACAAAUGUGCAUGAGGUCGUCUGUCAGCCUUCAGGAAAGACUGCAGUUGAAGCAAGAAAUACUGGAAUUUUUUUUUUUUUUUUUUUUUUUUUUUUUUGCUGUUACUGCUGCAGGUCAACAGUGUCUUCCUCCAGUUCUUGAAGGAAUUUCUUAAUAUGGAAACCAAUUUUACCUUUUUAUCUAGCACUACAGGCUGGAACUGUCUAGAUUCUAAUAAAACUUUUAUAUAUUUCAAAAA